rnacentral:lncRNA from 1 species
CCUAAUUUGUGUUGUAUGGCCUGAUAGUUGUUUACAGAAUAAUCUUAGAACUGUGCAGUUUAGAAAUCACUGGAACAAUUACAGAAUGAUUGGAACUUUCCAGAAUGAUCCUAAUAAAAGAUGCGUUAUAUAAACUUCUACAUUUUACUAGAACAAACUUCCAUUGUAACUUUCUAGGAUGUUCCAGUAUAGAUUGUUCUAGAAUUUUCCUUGACAAUUAUAU